rnacentral:lncRNA from 1 species
GAUAUUUAUAUCGAGCAAGUUCGGAAAGGUGACUUGAAGAAACGACCGUGUAUGAGAAACGGUGGCUGGUGAGCGAUUCGCCGGAGGUUCCGUAGAAUGGCGGAGCAGACGAUCGAGCGGAGCUCGUCUGAAGAAGAAGAAGAAGAAAAAGAAGAAGAAAGAUGAUGUCGCAGAGUUCUUCAGCUUUCCCCCGCCGACUCCGAUAGUCCGAUCCUAACUACAUUGGAAUUCGCCGCCUUCUUCUCCAUCGCAAGGCACAAUCCGGUGUUCUUCGCCGAAAGGUUCGCUUAUAUACAUAUAUGUAUCUUUAUAUGUAUAUUGGUGGGUCUGUUAUAGCGUUAGGUCCAUGUUUGGAUUCAAAGAAUUGGAAUCUGAUGUGUAAUUUGAUCCCAUUGCAUGUUCGUCUUCGAUUUGCUCUAGAGAAUGCUAUUUUGAAAUUUGCACUUCCGUAGCCCUAAAUACAUACAUGUUUUCGUGUCUCUGUCUGUAUCUUCGCCCGUUCGCCGCCUUCUUCUCCAUCGCAAGGCACAAUCCGGUGUUCUUUGCUGAAAGGUUCGAUCAUAUACAUAUAUGUAUAUUUGUGUGACUAUCAUAGUGUUAGAUCCAUGUUUGGAUUCGAAGACUUUGAAACUCUUGAUGUUAAUUUUGAUCUCAUUGCAUGUUUGUGUUCGUUUUGCUCCUAAACUUCAGGUUCAAGAAAAUGUCUUCAAAAUGUCUCAUUUGCGUAUACCGUACGUGUUUGUGUGAAUUUGUUAUUCUCUGUUAGUAUUAUAGUGUUAGAUCCAUGUUUGGAUUGAAGAUUGAACUUGGAAUAUUGCAUAUUUCAUAUUGGUGUGUUUUUCGCGGAAAAGAUUCUCUUAUAUACAUACAUGUAUCUGUGUAUGUACAUGUCUGUGUGCUAGAUCCGUUUUGGCUUAGAAGAAUUGAAGGCGGAAUUGUAAUUUUGAUCUAAUUGCAUGUUCAAUUUGCUCUAAACAUCAAAUCUCCACCACAAUGAAAUAAAAUCAAACGAUAUAGAUUGGUGUAUUUGUAUCGACAGUAUCUAUAUCUAUAUGUGUAUAUCCGUGUGACUAUUAUAGUGUUAAAUCUUUGUUUGGAUUAGAAGAAUUGAGUGGUUGAAUUGUAACUUUUGAUCUUAUUGCGUGUUGUUUUCGUUUUGCUCUAAACUUCAAGUCAGGAAGAAUGAUACGUUAAAAUGUCCACUCGCAUUUAUACAUACAUGUCUGUGUGCAUAUGUACAUCUCUGUAACUAUUAUAAUGUUAGAUCCAUGUUUGGAUUUGAAGAAUUGAACACAGAACAUUACAUAUUUCAUUUUUUUGUUCGUUUUGCUCUUAAGCUUCAAGUCACAAUCUGGUGUUCUUCGCUGAAAGGUUCGCUUAUAUACAUUCAUGAAUCGGUAUGUGUAUAUCUGUGUGACUGUUAUAGUGUUAGAUCCAUGUUUGAAAUUGAUGAACUGAACUUGGAAUUGUAAUUUUGAUCUUGUUGCAUGUGAUUUGGAUCUCUCACUGCAUGUUCGAUCUGUUCUAAACUUCAAGUCUCCAUCAAAUUGUAUUUAAUCAAAAGAUUUAGGUACUUGUAUGUGUAAGUCUGUGUAACUAUGACUGUGCUUAGAUCCAUGUUUAGAUUAGAAGAAUUGAAUGCGGUUUGUACUUUGUCACAUUGCAUAUUUGGUUUCAACUUGCUCUAAACUUAAGCCAAGAAGAACGUUACUUUAAAAUGUCUACUCACUCAUAUACAUGCAUGUGUUUGUGUGUAUAUGUAUAUGAGUAUAUCUCUGUAACUAUUAACAAGUUAGAUCCUGGUUGGAAUGGAAGAAUUGGACUCGGAAUUGUAAUAUAUGACCGCCAUUGCAUAGUUUAUUUCGAUUUGCUCUAAACUUCAAAUCUCCACCAUUUGUUUUUUCUUGUUUUUUUUUUAUGUGACUUUCUUUAAACAACUACAGUUGCAUGCCAAUAAAAUGCAACAGAUCAAUACGCUUCUAGUUUUUACCUUCCUUUUCCUACGCUACUGUGAUACAUCUUCGCAUUCUUUACAUGACCUGAGAAAUGGCAGUCAAACUUUGAGUCACAGUCCAAGUUUCAGCUUGAAUGCAAGCAAUAUUGGUUACCCACGUAAAAAUGCUGAACCAGCAUAUUCCUUUGUAGGGAUGCAUUGCAUAUUUGAUCAAUGCAAAGCCAUGGGUACUUCCUUGAUCAAUCAAUCUAGAUUGAUUUCAUAGACACGUUUCAACUUUUUCCAUAAUGUAAAUUUUCUUUGCUAUGAGAAAUUAACCCUUUAGUUUUAUUCCCAGUUACGGUUGUAAAGUUUGGGCACAUGAGAUCUGAUCUACCUGCAUAUGGGGCAUCAGAUGGUACCUUGACUGUUUGCACGUCUCUGAGCCACCUUCAGUUAUCAAGCAGUUAACAGGACUUUCGAAAGAUGUCACAGGUUGGAUUAGCUGGUAUAUAUUCUGUAGGCUUGUCUAUAAUCUUAUGCUUAUAUUUUUUGUGUCUAAAAUUUGCCCAUUUUCCUUGAUAUUUUUGUUGAACACAUUGAUUUUUGUGUUCAAUAAAAAACUUCUUGCUAAAACACUGUACGGAUAGGAGUGCUAUGUCAAACCGCUGUUUUCUGUACCUUUAGUCACACUAUCCUGUUCCUAUUUUAUAGCUUUAUUUCCCCUGUAGUUUGUCAUUUUCAAUUAACUAUACUACUUUUGAAUGCAAAUAACGUUGUUGACAUGUAGUAUGUCCUUAGGUCUCAUCAGUCUCAUCUCUUUCUUGAUUUCCUCUAGAUGCUCUGCUUAACAUGGGGCAAAAUUUUAGGCAUUUCCACCACAUAAAUCCUUGGCUAAUCUAACUCUGCACAUUGGGCAUAUAUAGAUAGAGAGCAAAGCAAUCAAUAUUAGACUAUAGAAGCACAUGUACGGCUAUUGGUACGAUACAGGUAGAUUGGUAAAAAAAACCCAGAAAGAUAGGAUAAAGAUACAAUUGUGACAAGUAGGUAAAAAAUAUAUUUUUAGAAUUUUGUGUAAUGGAUUAUAUGUAACAAUUAGAAAAUCAAAUGCAAAAAUUAAUUAAAUAGCUUAGUUAAUUAAGAAUCCAAGCUACAAAAUAUAGUUCAUGGCAAAAGUUAGGUACAUACCGGAGUUAGUGACAUUGCCCUAAAGAACCUACAAACCUAAGCUUAAGUUAUAAGCAUGUUAAGCUAGAGAAAAAAAAUGUUAUUAAGCUUACUCAUCUCUAUAUAAAAAGGAAGUAAUAUUCCAACUGGGGUACGGCUUGUAUUUGCUUCUUGGGUUGCUUAGAUUCUUUCAUUGGUUUUGUCUUGUUGAACAUAUAUCUUUACCAUUGAUUAUGUUUUAAACUAAUUUCUCUCCCUAUGCCUUUUUAAGUUAGAUUUGCACCUUGACGUUCACUGGAAACUAAGUUGUCCUGACCCAUUAAGUGAUUGCUCUUUUCCUGUCACUACUGUAUUCAAUUUUACUGUUUGUAUAUAUUCCAUAUGGCUGCUCUUUGGUCUAGGCUGUCUAUUGCAUUUUGGCUUUCUAAUUUUGCGAAUUGCCAAUAUUUUGUGCAGAUGUAUGCCACAGUGGCAACCAUGAAAUUGCAUUAAAAAUUAACACCAAAAUGGGUGUGGAAAGUGUUAGUCUGAUUGAGAAUCGACUUGUAUAAGGUGUUUAAAAAGCUAGUUUAAAGGAUGAAGAAUUUCUUAUUAAAGAAUUAUUUGAUAUUGUUCCUUGCCUUAUAAUCAUUCCAAAGCAAGCAGUAUGAAUUCAAUCUAAUGGUCAACCAAGCUCAUUUUCUUUCAGAGAGGAAUUUGAGUGAGGAACCCAAUGGGAUGGUUCACUCUGGAUGGACACAAGCUCCUGCAAAAGGAAAGGAA